GUUGAGAUGCAUAGAUCUUCAAAACGUCACAAACAGGUGCAAAAAUUGCCAAGGCAAUUAAUGGAAUGCUGGCCUUUAUAUCCAGAGGACAAGAGUUUUA